UGCAGUCGAGCGCAGGAAGCAAGUUGAUCCCCUUCGGGGGUGACGCUUGUGGAAUGAGCGGCGGACGGGUGAGUAACACGUGGGCAACCUGCCUGUAAGACUGGGAUAACCCCGGGAAACCGGGGCUAAUACCGGAUAAUACUUUCUUUUGCAUAAAGGAAAGUUGAAAGGCGGCUUCGGCUGUCACUUACAGAUGGGCCCGCGGCGCAUUAGCUAGUUGGUGAGGUAACGGCUCACCAAGGCGACGAUGCGUAGCCGACCUGAGAGGGUGAUCGGCCACACUGGGACUGAGACACGGCCCAGACUCCUACGGGAGGCAGCAGUAGGGAAUCUUCCGCAAUGGACGAAAGUCUGACGGAGCAACGCCGCGUGAGUGAUGAAGGUUUUCGGAUCGUAAAACUCUGUUGUUAGGGAAGAACAAGUUGGGUAGUAACUGACCCAACCUUGACGGUACCUAACCAGAAAGCCACGGCUAACUACGUGCCAGCAGCCGCGGUAAUACGUAGGUGGCAAGCGUUGUCCGGAAUUAUUGGGCGUAAAGCGCUCGCAGGCGGUCCUUUAAGUCUGAUGUGAAAUCUCGCGGCUCAACCGCGAACGGUCAUUGGAAACUGGAGGACUUGAGUACAGAAGAGGAGAGUGGAAUUCCACGUGUAGCGGUGAAAUGCGUAGAGAUGUGGAGGAACACCAGUGGCGAANGCGACUCUCUGGUCUGUAACUGACGCUGANGAGCGAAAGCGUGGGGAGCGAACAGGAUUAGAUACCCUGGUAGUCCACGCCGUAAACGAUGAGUGCU
rnacentral:rRNA from 1 species